GAUGAACGCUGGCGGCGUGCCUAAUACAUGCAAGUCGAACGCACAGCGAAAGGUGCUUGCACCUUUCAAGUGAGUGGCGAACGGGUGAGUAACACGUGGAUAACCUACCUCAAGGUUGGGGAUAACAUUUGGAAACAGAUGCUAAUACCGAAUAAAACUUAGUAUCGCAUGAUACCAGGUUAAAAGGCGCUACGGCGUCACCUAGAGAUGGAUCCGCGGUGCAUUAGUUAGUUGGUGGGGUAAAGGCUUACCAAGACAAUGAUGCAUAGCCGAGUUGAGAGACUGAUCGGCCACAUUGGGACUGAGACACGGCCCAAACUCCUACGGGAGGCUGCAGUAGGGAAUCUUCCACAAUGGGCGAAAGCCUGAUGGAGCAACGCCGCGUGUGUGAUGAAGGCUUUCGGGUCGUAAAGCACUGUUGUAUGGGAAGAACAGCUAGAGUAGGGAAUGACUUUAGUUUGACGGUACCAUACCAGAAAGGGACGGCUAAAUACGUGCCAGCAGCCGCGGUAAUACGUAUGUCCCGAGCGUUAUCCGGAUUUAUUGGGCGUAAAGCGAGCGCAGACGGUUAAUUAAGUCUGAUGUGAAAGCCCGGAGCUCAACUCCGGAAAGGCAUUGGAAACUGGUUAACUUGAGUGCAGUAGAGGUAAGUGGAACUCCAUGUGUAGCGGUGGAAUGCGUAGAUAUAUGGAAGAACACCAGCGGCGAAGGCGGCUUACUGGACUGUAACUGACGUUGAGGCUCGAAAGUGUGGGUAGCAAACAGGAUUAGAUACCCUGGUAGUCCACACCGUAAACGAUGAACACUAGGUGUUAGGAGGUUUCCGCCUCUUAGUGCCGAAGCUNACGCAUUAAGUGUUCCGCCUGGGG
rnacentral:rRNA from 1 species